AGUGCGAGAAUUUGUAUGGAGUUGGAACGUUUGCCUACAUUUGCCGCUAGGGGCGCUGUUCCAACUCCAUACAAAUUUGGGUUA
rfam:Bombyx mori DNA, contig: Bm_scaf12_contig10000, strain: p50T/Dazao, build 2, whole genome shotgun sequence.